AGCGUGUGGAAGCAUAAAUGGGAAUAACAUAGAAGCAUUGUGAAUGGGUGAUCGAUGGUCGGGAUGAAUUCGAUGGGCAGAAGGGCCUGCUUCCAUGCUGUAUCUGUAAACUAAACUAA